rnacentral:rRNA from 1 species
UACGUAGGGUGCAAGCGUUGCCCGGAUUUAUUGGGCGUAAAGGGCGCGCAGGCGGCUACGCACGUCCGUUGUGAAAUCGCUCGGCUCAACUGGGCGGGGUCGGCGGAUACGGCGUAGCUGGAGCAAGCUAGGGGGCAAUGGAAUUCCCGGUGUAGUGGUGGAAUGCGUAGAUAUCGGGAGGAACACCAGUGGCGAAGGCGGUUCUCUGGGCAUGUCCUGACGCUGAGGAGCGAAAGUGUGGGGAGCGAACAGG